AAAUACCGCAUAAGCCCACGGUACCGCAUGGUACUGAGGGAAAAGGAUUUAUUCGCUUUAGGAUGGACUCGCGUCCAAUUAGCUAGUUGGUGAGGUAACGGCCCACCAAGGCGACGAUUGGUAGCCGGACUGAGAGGUUGAACGGCCACAUUGGGACUGAGACACGGCCCAGACUCCUACGGGAGGCAGCAGUGGGGGAUAUUGCACAAUGGGGGAAACCCUGAUGCAGCGACGCCGCGUGGAGGAAGAAGGUUUUCGGACUGUAAACUCCUGUCGUUAGGGACGAUAAUGACGGUACCUAACAAGAAAGCACCGGCUAACUACGUGCCAGCAGCCGCGGUAAAACGUAGGGUGCAAGCGUUGUCCGGAAUUACUGGGUGUAAAGGGAGCGCAGGCGGGAAGACAAGUUGGAAGUGAAAACCAUGGGCUCAACCCAUGAAUUGCUUUCAAAACUGUUUUUCUUGAGUAGUGCAGAGGUAGAUGGAAUUCCCGGUGUAGCGGUGGAAUGCGUAGAUAUCGGAGGAACACCAGUGGCGAAGGCGGUCUACUGGGCACCAACUGACGCUGAGGCUCGAAAGCAUGGGUAGCAAACAGGAUUAGAUACCCUGGUAGUCCAUGCCGUAAACGAUGAUUACUAGGUGUUGGGGGAUUGACCCCCUCAGUGCCGCAGUUAACACAAUAAGUAAUCCACCUGGGGAGUACGACCGCAAGGUUGAAACUCAAAGGAAUUGACGGGGGCCCGCACAAGCAGUGGAGUAUGUGGUUUAAUUCGAAGCAACGCGAAGAACCUUACCAGGUCUUGACAUCCGAUGCAUAGCACAGAGAUGUGUGAAAUCCUUCGGGACAUCGAGACAGGUGGUGCAUGGUUGUCGUCAGCUCGUGUCGUGAGAUGUUGGGUUAAGUCCCGCAACGAGCGCAACCCUUAUUGCCAGUUACUACGUUAAGAGGACUCUGGCGAGACUGCCGUUGACAAAACGGAGGAAGGUGGGGAUGACGUCAAAUCAUCAUGCCCUUUAUGACCUGGGCUACACACGUACUACAAUGACGUUAAACAAAGAGAAGCAAGACCGCGAGGUGGAGCAAAACUCAAAAACAACGUCUCAGUUCAGAUCGCAGGCUGCAACUCGCCUGCAUGAAGUCGGAAUUGCUAGUAAUCGCGGAUCAGCAUGCCGCGGUGAAUACGUUCCCGGGCCUUGUACACACCGCCCGUCACACCAUGAGAGCCGGGGGGACCCGAAGUCGAUAGUCUAACCGCAAGGAGGACGUCGCCGAAGGUAAAACUGGUGAUUGGGGUGAAGUCGGAACAAGGUA
rnacentral:rRNA from 1 species